UACGGAGGGUGCAAGCGUUAUCCGGAUUCACUGGGUUUAAAGGGUGCGUAGGUGGGCAGGUAAGUCAGUGGUGAAAUCUCCGGGCUUAACUCGGAAACUGCCAUUGAUACUAUCUGUCUUGAAUGCCCUGGAGGUAAGCGGAAUAUGUCAUGUAGCGGUGAAAUGCUUAGAUAUGACAUAGAACACCAAUUGCGAAGGCAGCUUACUACGGGGUGAUUGACACUGAGGCACGAAAGCGUGGGGAUCAAACAGG
rnacentral:rRNA from 1 species